rnacentral:rRNA from 1 species
ACGUCUAUUCCACGUUGAAAGCACCGGUUCUCGUCCGAUCACCGAAGUUAAGCAACAGUGGGCGCGGUUAGUAUUUGGAUGGGUGACCUCCUAAGAACACCGCGUGAUGUUGGCA